UUAAAAUCAAUGCAUCUGCUAUAUAAAUUAAUGCAUUCGCUAUUAAAUUUAAUGCAUCCGAAAAUAAUAAAAUUUUUGCUCCCUUCAGGAUUCGAACCCAGGAUCUGCAUUCAUCCACCAAGAUGAUGCAUCCACCGUAGAUCUUGAUGAUCGAAUGGCUUAAAAUGGUUCUCCGUUCUAAUUUUAUUUAGUGGUUCUUAUUUGAAC
rnacentral:lncRNA from 1 species